CGGAUUAUUGUGAGAUGUUUAGUUGGUCAAUAUUUUAAUUAGAUAUCGAGUUAUUUAAGCUAAAAUCUAUCGAUAUAGUUGUAUGUGUUAGAAAGAAGUGACGAAAUACGUCAGGCGAUACGUUACAAGAAGUAGCAGUAGCAAGAGGAUGAGUCAUGAGCCACGCCUGAGUUAAUGUUUUAGUCGAGCCUUAUUUUGGAUAGUUAAUUACGCAUUAUUAAUUAUGUUUAAGGUGUAGAUGUUUAUUGAUUAUUAAUCCUCUCGUUAUUGUCUUUCGAUUGUAUGGGUUAGAGAGAGAAAUGACGAGAUACGUCACGCGGUACGUCAUAAGAAGAACCUUGGGAGCGCGAGAAGCACAAUUACAAAAUAUUAUUAGAGAUAUGGAGAUCCAGUGGGGACGGUUAGAUGCCGGAAUUGAUAUCAAUCGUCAACGUCGAUCAGUUCAACGUCAUCAUGACAUCCGCAUUCAGCAUCUUCAAGCAUCUUUAAGAUCUGGAAGAAUUCCUACACGCUGCAGUGAAUCGGGAUCUUCAUGAUUCAAUAUUUUUAAUUUUAAAUGAUAAUCAACGUGAACAGCUACCAAAUAUUGGCAAUAUUGAACAUUUAAACCUCAUUUUGCAGGAUCAUUAAGAAUCUCUCUAUUAUGUGUUAUUUUGUAUUCCAUUUGAUAUUUAUUUUUAUUUAAUAAUA